GGCUCAGAGGGGUUAAGAAACUUGCUGAAGGUCAUCGAGCUAAGAAGGUGGCCAACCUUCGGUUCUAGGUCUCUAUAACCCCAGAGCCCUUCUCCUAAGCCCUGCAUUCCACUCCAGUGUAGAUUGCCAAGAGGAUGUGUGUAAGGACUGGGCAGAGCAGAAGAAGCUGGAAGAGGCCAGGCAGGAGGCACUGCCACUGUCCAGGUGGGAGUGGGGACACCAAAGCAGAAGGAGAGGAAGGGACAGGUGGCAGGAGCUCUUUGCAAAUAAAAGGAAAGAAAGAAGAGAGGGGAGGGGACAGGAAUGCAAGGAAACUGGAAAAGGGGAAAAGAGAAGGAAAGCAAAGGAGGGAAUGCAUGGUGAGGGCCUGGUACCCGGUUACAAGUGCAAGUUCUAAGAAAAAGUCAAACCCACACUCUGAUCCCUGUGGCCUGCUUGGUUGGAGGGAGCCCUCCUUCCUGCCCUCCCUCUGAGCCUUUCCCGUCCUACACCAGAGACCCUGAGCGGCUUUGGGCUGGACGGUCCUGCCUGGCUCUGGACAUCUGCCUGCACACCACAGUGCUGUUGAGCCAAGAGCCAAGGAUGCAGUCUCAGACCCCCUCACUUGGCCUCGCCCUCCGCAAAGUGCGUGGGCUGGCCGCUCCGUGUGUUCUGGACUGAAGGGGGGACAUAGACUCACCAGAUGGAAGAGGCUUCUCUGAAGGCUGGUCGAUGGGCACAGAAUAUCCACCGAUGACAGCUCAUGUGUCCCGAGCACCUACUCUGUACCAAGCACUGUCGAAGUGCUCGACCUGCAUUACCUCCGUGAUUAGCUGGACAGCUGAGCAGACACUGCCUCUCCCCUCAGACUGUAGCUCCCUGAAUAAGGUAAGAUAAGGUGUUUCCUGAGCAUGCGCUUGGUGCCAGGCACUGUGCCAGGCGCUGGGGGCACACAGGCUGGUGAAGAGGAGCAGCUCCCCCCAACCCCCCGAGGGGAAGACAGAUCAUCAAACAGGCCAUCAAAGGAGAUGCAAGGCGCCCACCUUGUUGAGCCUCUGGAUCUCCUUUUCCUGGUAUUCCCGCUGCCGGGUGAGCGGGCUCAGCUGAUCCUGCAGGUACUUGACCUUCUGGCGCAGCUCCUUGGCCUCUGCUGUCAGCUGCUCCUUGUCGGUCUGCAGGGAACACAGGGCUGGUCAGCAGGGAGCCCCUCCAGGAGGCAUGAACGCACCACACCACCUGCCCCAGCCCCCCCGUCAGCCAGGCCUCCUCUCUGCCUCUCCCUCAGCAGUCCCCAGUGCUC